rnacentral:lncRNA from 1 species
GAGCCGAUUUAUAUCAAUACCUAUCAACUGGUAUCAAAGCUUUCGUUAUCAUAGUAGGUCUCACAAUCAUCCACAUAUUUACCUUUAGUUUAUAUCUUUUUUGACUGAAGUCAGCAAGGAAAACCCCAGCCUAUUUUUUAAUUUUUUUUGAUAAUGCAAACAUGUUUAAAUUCGCUCCCACGGGGAGUCAAACCCAGGUCUACUAGUGCUACUUAGGUGCUCUAACCACUAGGCUAAAGGCCCUUUCGCCUUUACUUUUUCUCUCAUUUGUUACUGUUUUGUUCAUCACCUAUAGUUCACUCAAAAAGCCAAAAAAACCUAUAGCCCUUUGAUGGUAUUAUUAUCGUGUGUUUUUUGUGUUCAUCAAGUUGCUAGUCACCAUCGCUACAUAUAUUGUGUCAUGUUUUAUUUGUUAUUCACACCCCUGUUAAUAUAAUAAAAGAGUAAAAAAAUCAGAGAGAAAAAGUUUAGAGAAAAGAAAAAAGACGAAAAGAAAGAUCCAAAAGAGAAAUAAAAGAAGAGGAAAGGGGUUGUAUUGCGGUUUGCUUACUAAAAAAUUCAGUUUACAUAUUUAGAAUCUUAAUGAUUUAUAUACCAGCAACAUUAUAUCUUUUGAGCACAUCAAACUGCUUGAUUUUCAGUACCAUAGCUUCCCUAGUUUAGUCACCUAUAGCUCCACCAAAAUUGAAACCAGGACAUUCGACUCGUAAUUCUUGCGACCUCGGAAUCACUUCUGUUGAGCUGCUACACUAUGAAAGGUCCUAAUAUGGCUAAAGGGGGUGAAUAGCCUUUUUAAAAAUUCUACAAACUCACUAGAGCAAGAGGUUAGUAAGUAACAAAGCGAAGCUUUUUGCUCUAGCUCUAAUGGGGUGUUUGCAAGCCACCUAUCCAACAAUUCUAGUUGAUAUAAUCACUAGGCACACAAGAGUUAUGUCACUACAAGCUACGCUAGUGAACGAUGCUACACAAGGCAAGACUAGCAACUAAUCUAGUUACACUACUUUGCGGUA